rnacentral:rRNA from 1 species
GACGAACGCUGGCGGCGUGCCUAAUACAUGCAAGUCGAACGCAGUGGGGACGGGUGAGUAACACGGGGGUAACCUACCAUCAGAGGGGAUAACACUUGGAAACAGGUGCUAAACGGAUAAUGAUGGAUGAACCCGCGGUGCAUUAGCUAGGUGGUGAGGUAACGGCGCCCCAAGGCCACGAUGAACAGCCGAACUGGGAGGGUGAUCCGCCACACUGUGACUGAGACACGGCCCAGACGCCUACGGGAGGCAGCAGUAGGGAAGCUUCGGCAAUGGACGAAAGUCUGACCGAGCAACGCCGCGUGAGUGAAGAAGGUUUUCGGAGCGUAAAACUCUGUUGUUAGAGAAGCGGUAUCUAACCAGAAAGCCACGGCUAACUACGUGCCAGCAGCCGCGGUAAUAC